AGAAUCAACGCUGGCGGCGUGCCUAACACAUGCAAGUCGAUCGAGAAAGUGGAGCAAUCCAUGAGUAAAGAGGCGCACGGGUGAGUAACACGUGACUAACCUACCUUCGAGUGGGGAAUAACCUAGGGAAACCUGGGCUAAUACCGCAUAAUACCUACGGGUCAAAGCAGCAAUGCGCUGAAUGAGGGGGUCGCGGUCGAUUAGUUAGUUGGCAGGGUAAUGGCCUACCAAGACUGUGAUCGAUA
rnacentral:rRNA from 1 species